rnacentral:rRNA from 1 species
UGAGGAAUAUUGGUCAAUGGGCGCGAGCCUGAACCAGCCAAGUAGCGUGAAGGAUGAAGGUCCUAUGGAUUGUAAACUUCUUUUAUAGCAGAAUAAAGUGACCCACGUGUGGGUUUUUGUAUGUAUGCUAUGAAUAAGGAUCGGCUAACUCCGUGCCAGCAGCCGCGGUAAUACGGAGGAUCCGAGCGUUAUCCGGAUUUAUUGGGUUUAAAGGGUGCGUAGGCGGAAAGAUAAGUCAGCCUGUGAAAGUUUGCGGCUCAACCGUAAAAUUGCAGUUGAUACUGUUUUACUUGAGUGUACAUAAGGUAGGCGGAAUUCGUGGUGUAGCGGUGAAAUGCUUAGAUAUCACACAGCAUAUCGAUUGCGAAGGCAGCUCACAAAGCCAUUAUUGACGCUGAGGCACGAAAGUGUGGGGAUCAAACA